rnacentral:rRNA from 1 species
GUGGGGAAUCUUGCGCAAUGGGCGAAAGCCUGACGCAGCCAUGCCGCGUGGAUGAUGAAGGUCUUAGGAUUGUAAAAUCCUUUCACCGGUGAAGAUAAUGACUGUAGCCGGAGAAGAAGCCCCGGCUAACUUCGUGCCAGCAGCCGCGGUAAUACGACGGGGGCUAGCGUUGCUCGGAUUUACUGGGCGUAAAGGGCGCGUAGGCGGACAUUUAAGUCAGGGGUGAAAUCCCGGGGCUCAACCUCGGAACUGCCUUUGAUACUGGGUGUCUUGAGUAUGAGAGAGGUGUGUGGAACUCCGAGUGUAGAGGUGAAAUACGUAGAUAUUCGGAAGAACACCAGUGGCGAAGGCGACACACUGGCUCAUUACUGACGCUGAGGCGCGAAAGUGUGGGGAGCAAACAGGAUUAGAUACCCUGGUAGUCC